UGGGGAAUCUUGCACAAUGGGGGAAACCCUGAUGCAGCGACGCCGCGUGAGCGAUGAAGCCCUUCGGGGUGUAAAGCUCCUUCGGCAGGGACGAUAAUGACGGUACCUGCAGAAGAAGCUGCGGCUAACUACGUGCCAGCAGCCGCGGUAAUACGUAGGCAGCGAGCGUUGUUCGGAGUUACUGGGCGUAAAGAGUGCGUAGGCGGUGCCUACC
rnacentral:rRNA from 1 species